GAUGAACGCUGACAGAAUGCUUAACACAUGCAAGUCUUUGGCGAAGCUGUGCUUGCACAGCCUAGCCAAGGCGGACGGGUGAGUAACGCGUAAGGAACUUGCCCUGCAGUCAGGGAUAACAGACGGAAACGACUGAUAAGACCUGGUAAAGUCAGGCGGACUCAUGUCCAGCCUGAUGAAAAGAGAUCCUGCAGGAGAGCCUUGCGUCCUAUUAGCUUGUUGGUGGGGUAACGGCCCACCAAGGCGAUGAUAGGUAGCCGGCCUGAGAGGGUGGACGGCCACAAGGGGACUGAGAUACGGCCCUUACUCCUACGGGAGGCAGCAGUGGGGAAUAUUGGACAAUGGGGGCAACCCUGAUCCAGCAAUUCUGUGUGCACGAUGAAGGUUUUCGGAGUGUAAAGUGCUUUCAGCAGGGAAGAAAAAAAUGACGGUACCUGCAGAAGAAGCGACGGCUAAAUACGUG
rnacentral:rRNA from 1 species